rfam:Brassica oleracea var. oleracea cultivar TO1000 chromosome C4, whole genome shotgun sequence
AUUGGAUCGAUGAUUGAUUGGUUUACUAAACUGCGUUAUCUAUCUGCAAAUCUCGUUCAAGGAGUUUGAAGAAACAAUAAAAACUGAGAUCCAUC